AGUGAGGAAUAUUGGUCAAUGGACGAGAGUCUGAACCAGCCAAGUCGCGUGAGGGAAGACUGCCCUAUGGGUUGUAAACCUCUUUUAUAAGGGAAGAAUAAGUUCUACGUGUAGAAUGAUGCCUGUACCUUAUGAAUAAGCAUCGGCUAACUCCGUGCCAGCAGCCGCGGUAAUACGGAGGAUGCGAGCGUUAUCCGGAUUUAUUGGGUUUAAAGGGUGCGUAGGCGGUUUAUUAAGUUAGUGGUUAAAUAUUUGAGCUAAACUCAAUUGUGCCAUUAAUACUGGUAAACUGGAGUACAGACGAGGUAGGCGGAAUAAGUUAAGUAGCGGUGAAAUGCAUAGAUAUAACUUAGAACUCCGAUAGCGAAGGCAGCUUACCAGACUGUAACUGACGCUGAUGCACGAGAGCGUGGGUAGCGAACAGGAUUAGAUACCCUGGUAGUCCACGCCGUAAACGAUGCUCACUGGUUCUGUGCGAUAUAUUGUACGGGAUUAAGCGAAAGUAUUAAGUGAGCCACCUGGGGAGUACGUCGGCAACGAUGAAACUCAAAGGAAUUGACGGGGGCCCGCACAAGCGGAGGAACAUGUGGUUUAAUUCGAUGAUACGCGAGGAACCUUACCCGGGUUUAAAUGGGAAAUGUCGUAUUUGGAAACAGAUAUUCUCUUCGGAGCGUUUUUCAAGGUGCUGCAUGGUUGUCGUCAGCUCGUGCCGUGAGGUGUCGGGUUAAGUCCCAUAACGAGCGCAACCCUUACCGUUAGUUGCUAGCAGGUAAUGCUGAGCACUCUAACGGGACUGCCACCGUAAGGUGAGAGGAAGGCGGGGAUGACGUCAAAUCAGCACGGCCCUUACACCCAGGGCUACACACGUGUUACAAUGGCCGGUACAGAGGGCCGCUACCAGGUGACUGGAUGCCAAUCUCAAAAGCCGGUCGUAGUUCGGAUUGGAGUCUGAAACCCGCCUCCAUGAAGUUGGAUUCGCUAGUAAUCGCGCAUCAGCCAUGGCG
rnacentral:rRNA from 1 species